AUCGUUAUAAAAAGACAGGUAACUCACGACUGCUCAGCAGAGACGUCCACAUCACCUCUGGAUCUCACAGUGCUCACUUUGCUGUCUGUGACACCAGUUUUUCUUCUCGACUCCGACAAACAAGCUGUGGAAAGGAUGAAGUGUGUUAUGGUCCUUCUGGUGUUGACGCUGGUCGCCCUCAUGGCUGAACACGGGGAGAGUUGUGUUUUACCUCCCCCUUGGGAUCUAAGUCCCGGUCGGCAAAUAUUGCACCGACGUGCUGUUCGCCUGAUGAGAUUGGGAACAACCCAAGAUAAAGUGGCCGACGACACAGUGAUGUGAUACUUUGAAGACUGAGUCUGUUCUUGACUUUGAAGAUAUAGUUUGAGCUAUAUCUUUCUGCUCUGCAAAGCAAUAAUAAAUAAUAAAUAAUUCGAUGAGUAAAUAUGAAGCUCUUGAGAUGUAGUGAUUUCAGUCACAGCUCCAAGUGAUGUUGAAAAAUGUAAAAUUGCUUGAUAGUGAAAACUAUCCUGCUGAAUAAAGCUGCAUUACAAAAGACCA